GCCGAGAUGAACGCAGAGCUCGAGGAAUCUCGAUUAAGGAUCUGGUGGUGCCUCGAGGAGCACC